rnacentral:rRNA from 1 species
UUGCGGUUAAAAAGCUCGUAGUUGGAUUUCGCUCGAGAAUUGGCGGUCCAUCUUUUGGAUGAGUAUCUGCAUAAGUCUUGGGCUCCUCUCGAAAAACGUUUCUGCGCUUGAUUGCGUGGUGCGGGGUUCGGGACUUUUACUUUGAGGAAAUUAGAGUGUUCACGGCAGGCAUUCGCCUUGAAUAUAUUAGCAUGGAAUAAUAAUAUAGGAUCUCGGUUCUAUUUUGUUGGUCUCUAGAGCUGAGACAAUGAUUAAUAGGGACAAUUGGGGGCAUUCGUAUUGACGAGUCAGAGGUGAAAUUCUUGGAUUUCGUCACGACGAACUACUGCGAAAGCAUUUGCCAAGGAUGUUUUCAUUGAUCAAGAACGAAAGUAAGGGGAUCGAAGAUGAUUAGAUACCGUCGUAGUCUUUACCAUAAACUAUGCCAACUAGAGAUGGGGCGUCGUUCUACCUUUAACUCGCUCCGCACC